rnacentral:rRNA from 1 species
CCUGGCUCAGGAUGAACGCUAGCUACAGGCUUAACACAUGCAAGUCGAGGGGCAGCAUGGUCUUAGCUUGCUAAGGCCGAUGGCGACCGGCGCACGGGUGAGUAACACGUAUCCAACCUGCCGUCUACUCUUGGACAGCCUUCUGAAAGGAAGAUUAAUACAAGAUGGCAUCAUGAGUCCGCAUGUUCACAUGAUUAAAGGUAUUCCGGUAGACGAUGGGGAUGCGUUCCAUUAGAUAGUAGGCGGGGUAACGGCCCACCUAGUCUUCGAUGGAUAGGGGUUCUGAGAGGAAGGUCCCCCACAUUGGAACUGAGACACGGUCCAAACUCCUACGGGAGGCAGCAGUGAGGAAUAUUGGUCAAUGGGCGAGAGCCUGAACCAGCCAAGUAGCGUGAAGGAUGACUGCCCUAUGGGUUGUAAACUUCUUUUAUAAAGGAAUAAAGUCGGGUAUGGAUACCCGUUUGCAUGUACUUUAUGAAUAAGGAUCGGCUAACUCCGUGCCAGCAGCCGCGGUAAUACGGAGGAUCCGAGCGUUAUCCGGAUUUAUUGGGUUUAAAGGGAGCGUAGAUGGAUGUUUAAGUCAGUUGUGAAAGUUUGCGGCUCAACCGUAAAAUUGCAGUUGAUACUGGAUAUCUUGAGUACAGUUGAGGCAGGCGGAAUUCGUGGUGUAGCGGUGAAAUGCUUAGAUAUCACGAAGAACUCCGAUUGCGAAGGCAGCCUGCUAAGCUGCAACUGACAUUGAGGCUCGAAAGUGUGGGUAUCAAACAGGAUUAGAUACCCUGGUAGUCCACACGGUAAACGAUGAAUACUCGCUGUUUGCGAUAUACUGCAAGCGGCCAAGCGAAAGCGUUAAGUAUUCCACCUGGGGAGUACGCCGGCAACGGUGAAACUCAAAGGAAUUGACGGGGGCCCGCACAAGCGGAGGAACAUGUGGUUUAAUUCGAUGAUACGCGAGGAACCUUACCCGGGCUUAAAUUGCAGAUGAAUUACGGUGAAAGCCGUAAGCCGCAAGGCAUCUGUGAAGGUGCUGCAUGGUUGUCGUCAGCUCGUGCCGUGAGGUGUCGGCUUAAGUGCCAUAACGAGCGCAACCCUUGUUGUCAGUUACUAACAGGUUCCGCUGAGGACUCUGACAAGACUGCCAUCGUAAGAUGUGAGGAAGGUGGGGAUGACGUCAAAUCAGCACGGCCCUUACGUCCGGGGCUACACACGUGUUACAAUGGGGGGUACAGAGGGCCGCUACCACGCGAGUGGAUGCCAAUCCCCAAAACCUCUCUCAGUUCGGACUGGAGUCUGCAACCCGACUCCACGAAGCUGGAUUCGCUAGUAAUCGCGCAUCAGCCACGGCGCGGUGAAUACGUUCCCGGGCCUUGUACACAC